rnacentral:lncRNA from 1 species
UGUCCCUAGUUAGUAUAUUUACAUAUAUACAUUAAGUAUUAAAUGUAUAUUUUUAGCACAAUUAGCUUAUGAUAAAUAUUCGAUGAAUAGCUUUAGCAUGUUUAUCCAACUAUACAUAUGAUACACGUUUUUAACAGAUUUAGCUUUUAAUACAUACUCGAUGCAUAUCUUUAGCAUAAAAAAUGAUUGAUGUGUAGCUCUCCAGAGAAGUAUAAAUAUGAGUUUAGCUUAAGAG